UACGUAGGCAGCAAGCGUUGUUCGGAGUUACUGGGCGUAAAGGGUGUGUAGGCGGUUUUUUAAGUUUGGUGUGAAAUCUCCCGGCUCAACUGGGAGGGUGCGCCGAAUACUGAAUGACUUGGAGUGCGGGAGAGGAGAGUGGAAUUCCUGGUGUAGCGGUGAAAUGCGUAGAUAUCGGGAAGAACACCCGUGGCGAAGGCGGCUCUCUGGGACGGUACUGGACGCUGAGACGCGAAAGCGUGGGGAGCGAACAGG
rnacentral:rRNA from 1 species